AUUGAACGCUGGCGGCAGGCCUAACACAUGCAAGUCGAGCGAGUGGCGGACGGGUGAGUAAUGUAUGGGGAACUGCCUGAUAGAGGGGGAUAACUACUGGAAACGGUAGCUAAUACCGCAUACCAUCGGAUGUACCCAGAUGGGAUUAGCUUGUUGGUGGGGUAAAGGCUCACCAAGGCGACGAUCCCUAGCUGGUCUGAGAGGAUGAUCAGCCACACUGGAACUGAGACACGGCCCAGACUCCUACGGGAGGCAGCAGUGGGGAAUAUUGCACAAUGGGCGCAAGCCUGAUGCAGCCAUGCCGCGUGUAUGAAGAAGGCCUUAGGGUUGUAAAGUACUUUCAGCGGGGAGGCGUUACCGGCAGAAGAAGCACCGGCUAACUCCGUGCCAGCAGCCGCGGUAAUAC
rnacentral:rRNA from 1 species